AACCAUGACGAGCUUUAUUACCAGCAAUAUUGCUUUCAUCUUCACCAGUAUCAGCAAUCAAAGGGCCGAUGCAGUAAACUGACGGAGUUGGCCCAUUGGGAACACAUGUCCCCUCUCUGAUUGUCUUAAGGGCUAUCGGCUCAAGGUCAUCGAAUGUAUUUAUCACAAGUCCAUCGGAUUUGGGCAAAAGCUCUGAGAAGUAUAGCAUAUCAUCAUAGGCGGGGUCGUCUCGGUUGAGCAAUGGUUGAGGCAUUCGAGUGGCUUGUAGCGGAGGCAACCCAGGAAAGUGUAUAAAGGUAGUGGGCAUGUCCUUGAAGCUCUUAUUGCUGCUCUCAGUCUGUUUGUGAAUUGUCGGAAAGUAGAGGACGGCAGCAACAGAAGCAGCACCGGAGGUGAGGAAGUAGUAAGUGGGAAUUCCAAGGCCACGACCCGCAGGAAGAGCUGAAGCGCAAAAGUAGUCGAUGAUGAAUGCCCGAAUGGUGGAAGCUCUGGAGAGUUGCUGGAGGGAAUGGAGGACAUUAGAGGCACUGAGACGGAUGAACUCAAACAAGACAGCGAAGUGACUGCGAGUGGAAGAAGAGGUGUCGACCGAGAGAUAGGGAAAGCGGUGGAAAGAGAUGGACGGAUUGGUUUGGGAGAUGUGGUCAAUGUAAGAGGUGGUGGCCGGAGUGUCAAAAGGGCCGGGGGCAAGGAGAAUGGUGAUGGAGAAUCUAUGGGAGCAACGACGAAGGAUGAGCUUGCCUAGCUCUAUCAUGGACACCACAUGGCCGAUGCCUGGAGCUGGAUACAGGACUAUUGCAUCCUCCAUCGUUGUUUAUUGUUGGAUCUCUGGAUUGGACAAACUCAGAAUGACAACUUUGUAUCACCUCAAUGAUAAUGCUCGGUCAGAAACUCACAUUAUUCAACCAAUAUCCUACAUCAAGAGACGUGCCCACAUUUGGUUCUCACGGGCACGCGUUGCCUGUCAACUGCUCCAUUAAAUUAUUCCUGAACAACCCAUUUACCUAAGCCUUAAAGCCAUCUUUUCCUUCCGGAGAUGCAACAUUAAGAUCAGAAGAUGGCAUGUUAUUUGCAAUCCUAACUUCUGUAACUAGGGAUGGCAAUGGGGCGGGUUUUUUCGGGUACCCGCCCCGCCCCGCCCCUAAUGGGACAGGGUUAAAUUUUAUUAAACGGGUUUGGGGCGGGUUUGGGAAUGGUUUAAAAAACCCGGAGCGGGUUCGGGGCGGGGGCGGGUAUUGCCCCACCCCGCCCCGCCCCGCCCCGAUCCUCCAUCACAUUUUUGCCCUUGAACUCUUCCACCGUUCUAGGUAUGGCAGCUUCCUGUCGCCAGAAACCAAAGAGCUUCUUCUCCACUUCCAAGACUCACCGGAGAGGACACGAAGAGAAGAACCGGAAGGGGAAGCUGGCCAGUCCAGGUUGUGAUGUCGUCAGAUUCAACAAUCGGAGAUCUGAUCGCGGCGGCACUGCGGCAGUACGCGAAGGAGGGGCGGCGGCUGGAGUUACCCACGGAGAUCUGAUCGCAGCGGCACUACGACAGUACGCGAAGGAGGGGCGACGACUGGCGUUACCCAUGGAGGUGUGUUCAAGCGGGAUUGCACGGAUCUUGUCCGUAGGAUCGCGCUUUUGACGCAUUUGUUUGAGGAGAUCAGAGAUUUCGGGGCUGGUUUGAGGCCUUUGGAUGUGUCGACUUCGUCGGCGUCUCCCUUGACUUGCCUGUCUGAAGUAGCCAAUGCUCUUCAGGCUGCUAAGCGCCUUCUGUCUGCCGCUGGAAAUUUCAGUUCCGACGCCUUUUCUAUGAGUCGCGAUUCCAAUUUCUUCGUUUCUUUAUUUUCUGAAAGAAAAUUGUCAAGCUUCUGUUUUUAUGAUGUUUUGGUUCGCAGAAACUGAAGGACUAACCUAAACAGAGGUAACAUGGAAGCCCCAUUGUUGUCUCUAGGUCCCAAAUGAUGAAAAAUGCAGAUUCCAAGAUUUUGCCAUCUUUUAUUUUCCCACAUUUUCUUGGAAACCAAACAGAGCAUUUGGGAAAAUAUUUAACUGAUUUCUGUUUUGAAUUUGAAUGACACACAUGGGGUUAACUUCAGUUUGUACAACUACUGGGCUUUAGUGCAGUUUGUUUGGUUAAUUGUAUAAUGUUGCUUUUGAUUCUGAGUCUUUCUGGGGCGUGUGAAUUGUUUGGAUAAUCUGCAACAGUAAGCGAAGGAGGGGCGGCAACGUUACCCACAGAGAUCUGAUUAUGGCGGUGCUGCAGCAGUACACGAAGGAGGGGUGGUGGUUGGCUUUACCCACAGAGACCUUAUCGCGGCGGCACUGCGGCAGUAAGCCCUGUCUCGCCGGUUUCAAUGGUGAAUUCAAAAAAAAAUAAUAAUAAACGGGGCGGGCGGGGCGGGGCGGGGCGGGUAUAGGAAUUUAUUGUACCCGCCCCGCCCCGCCCUGUUUAAGUUUUUAAAUGGGACGGGGAUGGGAUUUAUUUUAAAUAAACGGGGCGGAGUUGGGAUGGGGGCGACCCGUCCCGAACCCGCCCCGUUGCCAUUCCUAUCUGUAACUUCUUAAAUUUUUUCAAGUACCACCUUUUGAAUAUAUAUACCUGGGUAAAUUAUCGAGCCCAAAUUUUAUUAAACUAAAGAAUUAUAAUUUUGAUAAUUUAAUCUACUAAAAAAUAAUGGUGAUGUGUUUAUAUUUGUUCAUAUUUGAUUAGUACGUUUAUAAACAAAGGCCAUUGAGUAGAAGGAAGACGAAGUUACUGGAACAUAUUUAUUCCUAAGAUAUAAAAAGUUGAUUAAUUCCUAAGAUGAAGUCAAUUACCUCUGAAAUUAUCUCUUUCAUUGGUUUUGUCGAUUAUGAAUACUUGUCAAAAUUUCAACACUUUCCUUAACUUUAGCAUGAAUUCAAGCUCUAAAGUUAAUAUUUAGGGAGAUAAAUUAUAAAAAAAAAUUAAAUUGGAUUCAUUUUCUUCAUUUCAGGUUGAAUUUUCUGGCACAUGAUGAUGACCUGAAAAGGAUGGGUUUUUCUUCAUGUGUAUGUUGUGACUUUUUUCUUUCAGUCUUUUUUCUUUUUCUUUCUUUCCUCUUUCUUCCUUUCAGCUGUUAGACUUGCAGAGUUUGAUUAUUUUCCAAUUAGAUGGAAGGGCUUUUUUUUUUUUUGUUUAAUUUCGAAUUUUGAUUAAAAAAAAAUUAAAAUUUUAGUUCAAAAAGAACUAAAAAUAUAUUUAUAAAAUAAUACUAUAAUAUAUAUAUAUAUAUAUAUAUAUAUAUAUAUAUAUAUUAUUUUUAUAUAUUAAAUAGAAAAUAUAAAAAAAUUUAGUUAUAAUUUUUAAAUAUUUAAUAAUGAAUCUAUUUAAACCUAAGAAAAAUUUCGCAUUUUAAAUAUAUGUAUUUUUUUAACAUUGCAAUGUAAUAAAAUUUUUAUUUUAAAUGAAUAUCGAAUAUUAAAAAAUAAUAUAUAUUCUAUUUCAUUUUUUAUUUAUUUAUUUUACAAAUUAAGUAUAGACAUAAUAUAAUGUAAUUAUUUAGAUAUACGAUUUCAUUUAUAUUGGAUAUAAUAUAAAAAAUAUUAUAUUUAAUUAAAAAUGAUUUUUUAGAAUAUGUAUUUGUUAGUUAAUGGAAUAUGAUGUCAUAGGAAUAAAAAUAUCUUAACUUAUUGUUUUCCACCAACUACAUGUAGUCCAAGUGUAAUACCUUAGGAUUGAGGGAGAGAACCCAAGGAGGGAGAAAGUAGUCCCCCUUUUUGAAUUUGCUUUUUCAACACCUUAUAGAUUAUCCUCAGCUUCAUGUUUAAGCCAAAAAAUAACCCUCAAAUGAGUAUAGAAGUGAACCGCAGUAUAUGACAAUGACAAGGUUCAACCCAAAAUACAAGUCACUAAAAAGCAAACCCAAAUUAAAGGUAAAGCCCAAUCUCAUAAAUACAACAUGCAAAGCCCAAAAUGAAGAUAUUUAUCCAAGCCAACAGUCCAAUGAAUAAUCUAAAUCUAAAAGUUUUAAUUGAAGUAACCAAACUCAAAUAAACAAUCCAAGCCUAAAGCCAAUACCAACAAUAUCCAAAUUAAAGAAAGCCCAAAGACUAAACCCCACAUAAUUUUUAACGUGGAGCUAAAAGAAGGAAGGGUUUAUCCAUAUUCUUGGAGGGCCUAGGAUGGAAGCCAUGGUUGGUGGCGAGUGGAGAUGAAGGAUGUUGGAUCAUUCAAAAAAACAAACCAAGGCCUAGAUACUUUUGGGGUUGAUAUAACCUCAUACUUGUGAAUUUGGAUAUUCCCAAAUCAUUUUUUAAUCCAUAGAAGUCUCGACAACCUUUGGGAUCUUUAGCCUGAUGACUUUUUCUUGAAAUUUGGCAAUGAAAAUAAUUUUUAAGUGUCUAAGACAAGUUUAUACCUCUUGUAUAAAAGUUAUUAUAUUUUAUAUAAUGCUAUAAUUAUUUAAUAUUUUCAAAAAUAAGAAAACGAAAACUAUACUAAACAAAUAAAUGAAGUUUGGAAUUGAAACAAGAUGGAAUUUAAAAAUAUUAAUUAGCGUAAUAAAACAAUAUAUACUUUGUUGCAAUUAAAAGAAUCUAAAGAACCCAUUACUUAACCAAUUGCUAAGAAGCUAAUAAAAAGAGUGGUAGAACAAAAAGAGAAAAAGGCACCAAAUCCAAAGAGUGGUUUUAUUAGUAGAUUAAAUGUAGUACAAGUCAUAACAACUAAUUACGUAAUGAUAUUGGUUGUUAUUUAAUGGAAAGGUUGAUAUUUACACGUUUCCCAUACUCUCUAUCAUAUAUUUUAAGGUAAGGUGAAUGAAUUUGAAAAGAAAAGCUACAAUCUCGGGAUUGUUCUUUGGUAUCCGCUCUUCACUUUGGGAGUACAUAUCUAUGUUUGACCCACUAAUAAGAUUACACAUGUAAAAUAUAUAUGGUUAAAAAAUUGAAAGAAAAACUUAUUAAUAUCAUUAAUUAAAGAUAAAAGAGAGAUAAUAAUUUAAUAUAAAAAUUAAAUAGCUCCAACUAUCGUAUUGUUUGGAAAAUAUGUGAAAAUAUUGGGGAUGAGAGUCUUGAUAAAUUAAAUUUGAAGAUUGAUAUUUAUUGAAGAAGGAAAGCAAAAAAAAUUGUAUCACUUGAUUCAUCUAAAUGUAACAUUUGUAAGUAGAAAUAUCAUGUUAAAUAAUAUUGAAUAUGUAAUGAUUCAUAAUAUUUACAUUUUGGAUUUUUUUUUUUAUGAGUUUAUCAUUAGUCAAAUUGAGAUAAUUUGGUCAUAUUUGUUAUUAAUUCAAUAUUUCUAUAUUUUUUUUCAUAGAUUAAAUUUGAAAAUCAAGUUUCAUAUGUUUUGAAGAAGGAAAACAAAAAAAAAAAAAAAAUUCUUGAAGAAGAUAUUGUAGGAAAGAUUUCAAGUGAUUAAAAGUGUUAAGGUAAUAUUUGAUUUUUUUUUUUUUGUUUCGUAGAAGUUUUAUGUUAAAUAGUAUUUGAAUAUUUAAUGAUUAAUAGGAUUUAAAUUUUGAAUUUUUUUUAAUGAGUUUAUCCUUAGUCUAUUUGAGAUGCCUUGGUCGUAUUUGUUAUCAAUUAAUUGUUUUUAACAAAUUUCAAUAUUUUGAAGAGAGAAAAUCAGAUGCAUCUCAUAAUAUAUUGCCUCAUAUUGAAUAGAAUGCCUAACCCUUGUCUAAAAUAAGAAAAUUCUACAAACUAGCAUUGUAUUCUCAUUAAUUAAAUACACAAAAAGAGAUAAUAAUUGAAUAUUAAACUUAAAUUGUUAUGAUUAGCAUAUUGUUUGGAAAACAUGUGAUAUGGGAGUUUUUAUAGAUUAAAUUGUGAGAUUAAGUUUGACAUGUUUUGGAGAAGGAAAGCAAAAAAAAUUGUAUUUCUUGAAGGAUAUACCCUUCAAGUGAUUAAUAGAUGAUAGAGAACACCGAUGUUACAAACUAAGGGAGUGAUUUGAUUUUGCCAUAGUAGGAAUUUGUGUUGUUUAACUUGAUAGAGAUGAAACUAGAGCAUUGAUAAAAUGAUGGAAUAUUGAGUUCGGAUUCUAUGUUUGGGAAAGAAGAAAAUGAUUAAAAAAAAAGACAUUUUUUCUUUUUGGCUCUAAUUCCAUGUAAAGUUUGAUUAGUUGGCAAUGAAAACUAUAUUUUCAAUUUCUUCCUUUGUAAUUUUAUACAAAAAUAUAGAUGAUUUAUACAAGGAAAGAGAUAAACGAUAUUCUUGACAUAUAGGAAAAUAAUCUUAAAUUAAGAGAACCAAAUAUUAUUAAUAUUUGAAAAUCAAAUAUUGUCAAAAUUAAAUAUUAUUAAUAUUUUAUUAUGGGAAAAGAAUCAAGAAUCCCAUAAUUUUAGGAUGAGAUUUGAUUGUAUAUAGAAGAUUAUUUUUGAUUGAUUGUAACUGAUCCGUUUGCACAUUUUUUUAUAGGCUAACCAAUGUUUUGUAUAUAUGUAUUUUCUUUCCUUAAGUUGAUAGAUUGAAUAUACAACAGAUUUCUAGAUUUCCAAAUACUUUGUUUUGCUCUGUUUUCUUUCAUGGUAUUAGAGAACCAAACCUGGUGACUUUGAAUUCUUCCAAGCGCUUCCGCAACCUAUUUCCUUGUUACAGUCGCUGCCAUGAACAUCGACAAAAUGGGAUUGACAUCAUCUAAGGCUACCAUAGAAACUUUAGAUCCCGUCUCUCUACACCACUCAAACCACCCAAGUAUGGUACUUGUCUCCAAGGUACUUGAAGGAGAUAACUACAACACAUGGAGUCGAGCUAUGAGAAUCAGUUUGAGUGCUAAAGACAAAAUUGGAUUCGUCACAGGUUCCAUUAAGCCAUCCUCUUCGACUAAUGAUAGUUUUCCUUCUUGGCAACAAUGCAAUGAUAUGGUGAUCUCAUGGUUAUUGAAUUCCAUUCAUCCAGACAUAGCCAACAAUGUGAUUUAUGCAGAAAAACUAUAGCAGAAAUAUGGGCAGAUCUACAAGAAUGUUUUUUUUCAAGGAAACGAUUCAAGAAUUUAUCAGAUCAAGCGAGACAUUGUGGAACAUAGGCAGGGGCAACAAUCAAUUUCGAUUUACUACACAAAGCUUAAAGCUUUUUGAGAUGAACUUUCAUCCUAUCAUGAAGUGUUAUCCUAUUCUUGUGGAGGAUUAGAGAAAUUUUAGGAAAAUGAUGAGAAAAAGAGAGUUAUGCAGUUUCUCAUGGGAUUGAAUGGUAGUUAUGCUUCUAUUCAUGGACAAAUCUUAUUGAUGCAACCUUUACCCGAUACACAUCAAGUUUACUCACUUGUCCUUCAACAAGAAAAACAGGUUGAAGUUUCUCUCAGUAAUGGGAACAAGAACCUCUAUGCCAUGCUUGCAGAUCAAGACAAUAAGGUGACUUCAGCACACCAGGUUCAAAAGCAAAAGACUCCGCUGCACUGCUCUUAUUGUGACCGUGAUUAUCACAACAUUGAGAAGUGUUACUACCUACAUGGCUUUCCAAUUGGCCACAAGCUUCAUGUGAAGAACGUGAAGCCUCCCAAUCAAUGUCACUCAAAUGCAAACAAUAUGAAAGUGGAAACAAAUAAGGCUGUCGAGAUAGAAACAAAAUUUCUUCCAACAAGUGAUAGACCAAGGCUCACAACUGAGGAAUAUAACCAAUUGAUGGCUAUGAUUUGGAAAAACAAUGGUGGUAAUUCACAACAUUUUGCAAAUGCCACGGGUAUAAAUAUGCCAUCAUCCAAAAUUAUUCUGGAUUGCCUACACUUAAAUAUGUGUUGGAUUAUUAAUAGUGGAACAACGGAUCAUGUGACUUCCUCAACUGAAUUAUUAGAUCCAAAAAAUUUGCCCAAGACCACUACCAUUAGUUUGUCAGAUGGUGGUCAAGAACAUAUUGAGUCAAUUGGUUCAUUGCAUAUUACCCCCCACAUUAAACUUAAUGAUGUACUCAAAGUUCCACAAUUUCAAGUUAAUUUACUAUCAGUUAGUAAACUAACACAGACAUUACAAUGUAUAGUGAUGUUCUUUUUUUAUUUUUGUGUUGUGCAAGACACUACUACGAGGAAGACGAUUGGCUUGGGCAAGCAACAUAAUGACCUCUACUACCUCGCACAAGACCAAAAUCCAGCCUUGGCUUAUGCCAUUCACAAACAUUCUGAUCUUUGGCAUCAACGUCUUGGGAACCUAUCAUCUGGUCAUCUUCAAGUUCUUGCUAAAAUUAAUCCUGAAAUUUAUUUUGAUUCCAAGCAUGUUUGUGAAAUUUUCCCUUUAUCCAAACAAACUCAUUUGUCUUUUCCAUCUAGUUUCAUUUCUUCUCACGCGCCUUUUGAUUUGAUACAUUGUGAUAUUUGGGGACCACAUCGAAUAAAUUCUCAUUCUGAGGCUCGUUAUUUCCUAACAAUUGUUGAUGAUCAUACUCGAUAUACUUGGAUACAUCUCAUGAGUUUUAAAUUUGAAACACAAGGGAUAUUGCAAUCAUUCAUUUCUUGUGUGGAAACACAAUUUAAUUGUUGCAUUAAAACUCUUCGAACUAAUAAUGAGACUAAAAUUUCCUCUAUGAAACAGUAUUUGGAUACUAAGGGGAUCAAUUACCAUCAUUCAUGUGCUUACACCCCCCAACAAAAUAGGGUGGUUGAGAGGAAACAUCGUCAUCUUUUAAAUGUGGGAAGAACUCUUCGUUUUCAAGCAAACCCACCGUUAAAAUUUUGGGAGGAAAGUGUUCAAACAAUCAAUCACUUACCUACACCAUUUUUUUUCUUACAAAUCGUCAUACCAACUUCUCUAUAUAUAACAAGCUACCUUCAUAUAAUCAUCUAUGAACUUUUGGAUGUCUUUUUUAUGCCACCAAUCUCUUACCCACACAUAAAUUUGAUAAAAGAGCUCGUCGCUGCAUAUUUGUUGGUUAUCCUCUUGGUUAAAAGGGUUAUUGGGUUUAUGAUAUUAAAAAUAAUAAAUUUUUUUCUUCCCGAGAUGUUGUCUUUCAUGAACAUAUAUUUCCGUUCCACAAUAAUCCACAAGAAGAGCAACAUGAUGUGGUCGUUCUUCCUUGACCACAAACCUCAUAUGAACCCAUAACCAUAGAGACAACCAAACCCUAAGCUGAUGAUCAAUCUUUGUCUUUACCACUGUUACUUUCAUCCCCCGAGUCUAUGUCCAAUGAAUUUACACUUGAUCUUGGCACCAUUGUGUCACUUCCACUUGCUACUACUCGUUGUUCUAAUCGUAUCAAGCAACCAAAUGUCCAACUCUCAAAUUUUCAUCUUUACCACACAGCCAAGGUUGCUUCCAACCAAUCUUCUUCUUUUUCAGGUACGCGUCACCCUUUGACUUGGUAUAUUUCCUAUGCAAAACUCUCACCAAAAUAUCGGAAUUUUGUUUAUGCCAUCACCACUCAUGUGGAACCUAAACUUAUGAACAAGCAAUAUUGGAUCUAAAAUGGCAGGAAACUAUGGCUGCAGAACUCCAUGCUCUUGAACAAAAUCACACUUGGACACUCACACCUCUCCCUUCCGAUCAUCGUCCAAUUGAGAGCAAAUAGGUGUAUAAGAUCAAAUAUAACUCUGAUGGCAUAGUUGAGCGAUACAAAGUCGGUUGGUCACAAAAGGCUUCACUCAACAUAAAGGGAUUGACUAUAAGGAGACAUUUUCUCCUGUGACUAAGUUAACUAUAGUUCGAUGUUUACUUGUUGUAGCUGUUGUCCGACACUGGUCACUUCACCAAAUGGAUGUUCAAAAUGCCUUUCUCCAUGCUGAUCUGCUUGAAGAAGUCUAUAUGCAACUGUCUCCUGGUUUUCGUCGAUAGGGAGAGACACCUAUGGUAUGUCGACUCAACAAGUCAUUAUAUGGGCUUAAACAAGCCUCCCGUAGCUGGUUUCAAAAAUUUUCUGCCACAAUUCAACAAGAUGGUUUCCAUCAAUCAAGAGUUGAUUAUUCACUUUUCACAAAGAUCUCUAGUAUUUCCUUCACAGCUAUGCUCAUCUAUGUAGACGAAAUGAUCAUCAUCGUCAAUGAUGAGAAUGUAAUUGUAGCUCUUAAGGAGUCUCUCCACACCAAAUUUCUCAUCAAGGACCUCAGUCAAUUACGAUAUUUCCUUGGUAUUGAAGUUUCUUGUUCUAUUGAUGGUAUUUCAAUAUCCCAACAAAAAUACACUCUUGAUAUCUUAGAUGAAGCAGGCUUGCUUGGGGCCAAACCAUUAUCGACACCUAUAGAAGAAAAUAAUAAACUCCUGCCGACAGUAGGAGAUUUAUUGAAGAAUCCAUCCAUUUACAGAAGAUUGGUUAGACAACUCAUUUAUCUUACCAUUACAAGGCCAAAGAUAAGUUAUCCAAUUCACAUUUUAAGCCAGUUUAUGCAAGAACCAAGAAAGCUUCAUUUAGAUGUUGUUCAUCAUCUUCUACAGUAUCUUAAAGGUGCACCUGGACAAGGAUUAUAUUUUCCUGCCAAAGGAAAUUUGCUACUAAGGGGAUUUUGUGAUGUAGAUUGGGCUCGAUGUUCGAUCAUAAGACGAUUUAUGACUGGAUAUUGCAUUUUUCUUGGAAGAGCUCUUAUUUCAUGGAAAACCAAGAAAUAGACAACAAUGUUAAGGACAUCAGCUGAAUAAGAAUAUCGAGCAAUGGCUUCCAUUACGUGUGAACUUAUAUGGCUCAAGUAUUUGUUGGAUGACUUGCAAGUAGAACACUCACAACCAACCAAACUAUUCUAUGAUAGUAAAGCAACACUCCAUAUUGUUGCUAAUCUAGUUUACCAUGAACGUAUCAAGCAUAUAGAAAUCGAUUGCCAUGUUGUUCGAGAACGAAUUCAGUCAGGUGCCAUAGUAACUGCUCAUGUUCCAUCUGCUUGCCAAUUUGCUGAUUUGUUCACUAAGCCAUUUAGUUCAUCAAUUUUUCAUUCCCUUCUCAACAAGUUUGGCGUUCUUAACAUACAUGCUCCAACUUGAGGGGAAGUAUUAUGGGAAAAUAAUCAAGAAUCCCAUAAUUUUAGGAUGAGAUUGAUCGUAUAUAGGAGAUUAUUUUUGAUUGAUUGUAACUUAUUCGUUUGCACAUAGAUUCCUAGAAUAGGCUAACCAAUGUUUUGUAUAUAUGCAUCUUCUUCCCUUAUUAAGUUGACAGAUUGAAUAUACAAUAAAUUUCCAAAUUUCCAAAUACUCUAUUCUGCUCUAUUUUCUUUCAUAUUUGAUUUCCAAAUAUUGUGAGAAUCAAAUAUUGUUAAUAUUUGAUUAUUUUUUAUUCCUUUAGAUUUAUGAAAAUAUUUAUGAGAGUGCCUUUCUACUUUUUUAUAAGCUUGAUUCCAUAUAUCUUCUUGAAUAUUUCCUUUAAUAGUGUUCAACAUGGAUAUUCAAAGUUAGAGAGCAACAAGUUGGGUCAAACCCAUUUUGACUUUUUCUUAAAUAUAUUCUCAUUUUUUUAACAUAUUCUUAUUUUUGUUCCAAAUCCAUAUCCGAACGGGAUGGAAUGGGUUUGGGUUUUGAGGUCCAAAGCAAAAUUGGUUCAACUUUUACCUUUUCUCCUCUCUCCUCACCCCAUUUAUGUAUAUAAUUAAAUAAAAAAUUAUUCUAAUUCAAUUUUUUUUUUUAAUUUUUCCUUUUUAACACAUAAAAUUAAAAGUAUUUCUCAUAAAAAAAGUUAUAAAAUGUUUAUAAUAUUUAUUAUUUAUAAAUUUUUUGUAGAUAAAAUUUUAAAAAUAUUAAAAAAACUUGCCUUAAACUUGGCUUACCUUGCAAUGUUUAUUAUUAUUAUUAUUUUUUAGAUGACCAUGAAAAGAGGCCUAAAUAAUUGAGAUGGGAUGUGAUGGGAUGGGACGGGACGAGCCCACAUUGUUGCCAUCCACCCAUUUCUUUAUCAACUUUAUAAGGAUAAUUAUCCUUUUAUUCCAGCAGCUUCAAAGAGUCUGACAGAUAUGAUGGAGAAAUUGAACUCUUUCGUAUAAAGUUGAUACAGGAAUAAGGGUGAUUAUCCUUUGCCCAUCUACCCAUUUCUUUUAUACCAAAGUCCUCAUGAUUAUCCUUAGAAGACCUUACUUGCCCUUCCUCUUUUAAUUUUUAAUUUUUUAAAUUUUAAUUUUUUAAUUUUAUUUAAUAUAAUUUUUUAUUUUUAUCAAUCCUAUAUUAAACCAUCCUGCGAUCAUCCAUUAUCAGCUACUAAUUGUAUAGAAAUAUCAUGUUUUGAAAUGCCAACAAUAUUUGAAAACCCAAAUUACCUUUGUUGAUUAUGAAUGACCCUAUGAUCUUCUCCUUCGCCCAUUCAUUAUCAAGCAUUAAUUUUAGGAGUGUUUGUGUUUUGAGUCUUUUAGUAACUUUUCUUGAUGAUGAGUUACACAAUGUUUCUCGUCCAACUGCUCACUAAUAGGAAGAAGCAAAGAUUCAAACAUAUAUAGAUUUGUUCUAAUUACAAAGAUAAAAGCAAGCUAGAUUCAGAUACAUUCCAAUCAAUCUUGACUCCAGAUAUCAGCCAAUUUGGCAAGGGCAGUGGUGGAUGAACCCCCUCUUUCCAAGCUGCCAAAGCCAUCUCUCUCAUCUUCCUGCUUCUUUCUCUCUCCCUCCCCUCUUCACACUCCGUCAACUCUCUCACUCUCCUCUCCACCUCAGCUCCACUCACAAACAUAUCCUCAUCCCUCUGCUCCACUCCAAUAGCCAUCUUCAUAACCUCCACCAGAGCUGCCUUAUUCAGAUGCUGCUCAGCAUAUAGAGGCCAGGCCACCAUUGGCACCCCUGCAACCACUGCCUCCAACACCGAGUUCCACCCGCAAUGGGUUACAAAUCCCCCCACCGAUGGGUGAUUCAGCACCGCCACCUGCGGCGCCCAUGACUUCACCACCAUUCCCCUAUCCUUGGUUCUUUCCAGGAACCCCUCUGGCAUUAGAACAUUCAAAUCAACAUCGGCCGUCACUGCAAUCCGCUUGCUUUUGUCGGUGGUUGGUGGGUUCUUCACCACCCACAAGAAUCUCUUGCCACUUCUUUCCAGUCCAUUAGCUAUCUCCUUCAUCUGAGCGGGAGAGAACGUUCCCUUGCUCCCGAAGCACAAGAAGACAACACUCUGACUUGGCUGUGUGUCAAGCCAGGACAAGCAACCAUGACGAGUUUUAUUACCAGAAAUAUUGCUUUCAUCUUCACCAGUAUCAGCAAUCAAAGGGCCGAUGCAGUAAACUGACGGAGUUGGCCCAUUGGGAACACAUGUCCCCUCUCUGAUUGUCUUAAGGGCUAUCGGCUCAAGGUCAUCGAAUGAAUUUAUCACAAGUCCAUCGGAUUUGGGAAAAAGCUCUGAGAAGUAUAGCAUAUCAUCAUAGGCGGGGUCGUCUCGGUUGAGCAAUGGUUGAAGCAUUCGAGUGGCUUGUAGCGGAGGCAACCCAGGAAAGUGUAUAAAGGUAGUGGGCAUGUCCUUGAAGCUCUUAUUGCUGAUCUCAGUCUGUUUGUGAAUUGUCGGAAAGUAGAGGACGGCAGCAAUAGAAGCAGCACCGGAGGUGAGGAAGUAGUAAGUGGGAAUUCCAAGGCCACGACCCGCAGGAAGAGCUGAAGCGCAAAAGUAGUCAAUGAUGAAUGCCCGAAUGGUGGAAACUCUGGAGAGUUGCUGGAGGGAAUGGAGGACAUUAGAGGCACUGAGACGGAUGAACUCAAACAAGACAGCGAAGUGACUGCGAGUGGAAGAAGAGGUGUCAACCGAGAGAUAGGGAAAGCGGUGGAAAGAGAUGGAAGGAUUGGUUUGGGAGAUGUGGUCAAUGUAAGAGGUGGUUGCCGGAGUGUCAAAAGGACCGGGGGCGAGGAGAAUGGUGAUGGAGAAUCUGUGGGAGUAACGACGAAGGAUGAGCUUGCCUAGCUCUAUCAUGGACACCACAUGACCGAUGCCUGGAGCUGGAUACAGGACUAUUGCAUCCUCCAUUGUUGUUUUUGGGAUCUUUAACCUGAUGACUCUUUAUUGGAAUUUGGCAAUGAAAAUAAUUUUUAAGCGUGUAAGACAAGUUUAUACCUUGUGUAUAAGGGUUAUUAUAUUUUAUAUAAUGCUAUAAUUAUUUAAUAUUUUCAAAAAUAAGAAAACGAAAACUAUACUAAACAAAUAAAUAGAGUUUGGAAUUGAAGCAAGUUGGAAUUUAAAAAGAUUAAUUAGCGUAAUAAAAUAAUAUAUACUUUGUUGCAAUUAAAAGAAUCUAAAGAACCCAUUACUUAACCAAUUGCUAAAAAACUAUUAAAAAGAGUGGUUUACACAUUUCCCAUGCUCUCUAUCAUAUAUUUUAAGGUAUGGUGAAAUGAAUUUGAAAAGAAAAGCUACGGUCAGGUUGUUCUUUGGUAUCCACUCUUUACUUUGGGAGUAUAUAUCCAUGUUUGACCCACUAAUAAGAUUACACAUGUAAAAUAUAUAUGGUUAAAAAAUUGAAAGAAAACCUUAUUAAAUGGGUAAACAUUACUCGUUGAUGAGAAAAAAAUCACAUGCAAUCUCAUAUGUAUAUAAAUAUUUUAGUUUUUUUCUUUGUAAUUUAUUAUCAAAUAUCAUUUGUUAUUUGAUGAAAUAUCUAACUUAUUUAAAAUAAGAAAAUUUCAUCAACUAUCAUUAAUUAAAGAUAAAAUAGAGAUAAUAAUUUAAUAUGAAAAUUAAAUAGCUCCGGCUAUCGUAUUGUUUGAAAAUAUGUUAAAAUAUUGAGUCUUGAUAAAUUAAAUUUGAAUAUCAAGCUUGAUAUUUAUUGAAAAAGGAAAGCAAAAAAAAUUGUAUCACCUGAAAAAGAUACUAGGAAGAUUUGAUACUUUUUUGUUUCAUCUAAAUGUAACAUUGUAAGUAGAAACAUUAUGUUGAAUAGUAUUUAAUAUGUAAUGAUUCAUAAUAUUUAGAUUUUGGAAUUUUUUUUAUGAGUUUAUCAUUGAGAUAAUUUAGUCAUAUUUGUUAUUAAUUUGUUUUUAAUUCAAUAUUUUUAUAUUUUUUUUCAUUGAUUAAAUUUGAAAAUCAAGUUUCAUAUGUUUUGAAGAAGGGAAAAAAUAAAAUAAAAUCUUGAAGAAGAUAUUGUAGGAAGGAUUAGGGAUGACAAUGGGGUGGGUUUGAGACAGGUCGCCCCCAUCCCAAUCUCAUCCCAUUUAUUCAAAAUAAUUCUCGUCUCUGUCCCAUUUAAAAACUUAAAUGGGGCGAGUAUGAUAAAUUCCCAUACCCGCUCCGACUUGCCCUGUUUAAUUUUUUUUGAAUUUUUAAUUAUAUUAAAAUAAAUAUAUUUUAUAAAUAAUUAAAUUAUUAUAUUUUUUAGAACUUAUUUUAUUAUUAUUAUUUAUAUAUUAAAAAUAGUAAAAUAAAAAUUAAAUUAAAUUAAUUAAAAAAAUUAAUUAUAUAUAUAAUCGGGUGGGACGAGACAAGGCAAUACUCGAACUAGCAUCUGAUGCCUUGGGUUUUAAAAAAAAAUUCCCAAACCCAUUUAUUAAAAUUGAAACUCGUCCCAUUAGGGGCGGGAUGGGGUGGGUAUCCGAAAAAACCCGCUUCAUUGCCAUCCCUAGGAAGGCUUUCAAGUGAUUAAAAGUGUUAAAGUAAUAUUUGAUAUUUUUUGUUGGUAGAAGUUUUAUGUUAAAUAGUAUUUGAAUAUUUAAUGAUUAAUAGGAUUUAAAUUUUGAAUUUUUUUUAAUGAGUUUAUCCUUAGUCUAUUUGAGAUGCCUUAGUCGUAUUUGUUAUCAAUUAAUUGUUUUUAACAAAUUUCAAUAUUUUGAAGAGAGAAAAUCAGAUGCAUCUCAUAAUAUAUUGCCUCCUAUUGAAUAGGAUGUCAAACCCUGGUCUAAAAUAAGAAAAUUCUACAAACUAGCAUUGUAUUCUCAUUAAUUAAAUACACAAAAAGGGAUAAUAAUUGAAUAUGAAAAUUAAAUUGCUAUGAUUAGCAUAUUGUUUGGAAAACAUGUGAUAUGAGUGUUUUUAUAGAUUAAAUUAGAAGAUUAAGUUUGACAUGUUUUGAAGAAGGAAAUAAAAAAAAAAUGUAUUUCUUGAAGAAUACUCUUGAAGUGAUUAAAAGUGUCUGGAUAAUAUUUGAUAAAAGUGCUAUUUAAAUGUUAAAUAGUAUUUGAAUAUUUAAUUGAUUUAGAUUUAAGAAUUUUUUAUAAUUUUAUUAUUAGUCAAAUUGAGUUAACUUAGUCAUAUUUGUAAUAAUUUCAAUUUUUUAUAUCAUUUUUUUUUUGUACUUUAAGGAUUCUAAAAUAUUAUUCAUGACAUUUUUAAAUUUUAAAUCAUAUUUUUAUUAUAAAACAAAUAAGUGAAAAAAGGGUGUAAAGAAUGUAAGAAAUGAUAUGAACCAUGUGACAGGGGGGACAAAAGAUAUGAGGGAGAGUAUGCACAAUAUGAUUAGGAAGAGUACAAAUAAUAUGAGGGAGGAUACAAAAAAUGAAAGAGAGGGUACGACUAAUGUUAGAGAAGGUAUAAAAAAAUGUGAAACAAUGUAUGAAUAAUGCGAAAGAGGGUAUGAAAAAUGUGAGAAAGAGUAUGAAUAAUGUGAGGAAAUGUGUAAAGAAUGUGAAAUGGUACAAAUAAUAUGAGAGAAGAUACAAAUAAUGUAAGACGGGUGCAAACAAUAUGAGAGAUGAUACAAAGAACAUGAAAGAAGGUAUGAAUAAUGUGAGGUAAAUACAAAAAAUGUGAGAGGGGGCAUGGAAAAUGCGAGACAGGUAUGAACAAUGUGAAAGAUGGUACAAAGAAUGUAAGAGAGGAUACAAGUAAUAUGAGGUAUGGUAUGAAUAAUGUGAAAGAUGAUAUGAAUAUUGUGAGAGAUGAUAAAAUAAAAUAAAAUUGUAAGAGCUGAUACAAAUAAUGUGAGAUAAACUACAAAUAAUGUGAGAGAGGAUAUGAAUAAUAUAAGAAAUGGUACAAACAAUGUAAAAAAGGGUAUGAAUAAUAAGAGAGAAAGAGUACAACAAAUGUGAGGUAGAGUAUGAAAAAUAUAAGAUAAUGUACGAAUAAUGUGAAAAAUGAUACAAAUAAUAUAAGAGAUGAUACAAAGUAUAUGAGAAAGAGUACCAAUAAUGUCGUGAAUAUAUAAAAAAAUAUGAGAAAAAAAUACUAACAAUGUGAGGAAGGAUAUAGAGAACGUGAGAGAUGAUACAAAGACUAUUAGAAAGGAUACAAACAAUAUAAGGGAUGGUAUGAAUAAUGUGAGAGAGUACCCUUUUUUACACCCUCUCUUACAUUGCUCAUACUCUUUCUCAUAUUCUUUGUAUCUUUCCUCACAAUGUUUGUAUCAUUUUUCAUAUUCUUCGCACCAUUUUUCACAUUAUUUGUCCCAUUUUUUAUAGUGUGUCCUUUUGGGUAAUUUUAAGGACACAUAAUCAUAAAAUCUAUGGUCGUAGAUAGAAGGUUUAAUUACCCAAUAUCAAUAACUUUUUUUUUUUCCUUUAACAAGAAAAGAAUCUUCGAAUUUGGAUGUCCAAGUCGUUGAUGCCAAAUUGAUGAAGAACCACCUUUCUUUAUUGCACUAAAUAUCUCUUGAUGGUUUCCAUUCAGAGUAUAUAGUCAUCCUUUUUUAUAGCCCUUCACUACCGUCCUUUGAUUUUGGUUUUUAACAAUAAUGGUAGAUGAAGAAAAUUUAAAGGUACAUAGAUUAUUCGUGGUAAAUUUUCCAAUAGAUAACCAUUUUUUUUUCAUUUUCAUCAAAUUAGGGAUUACUAAUACAUCUUUUAAAUCCAAUUUUCCUUCAUUUGUAAGAACACAAGCAUAUUCAUUAUGAGAAAUUGGUGGACUAUUUCCAGCUCUAACAUAAAUAACAUCAUUCUCAUCAUAUAAUUUAAUAUGAAAAAAAUUGCCUACAUCCUUUAUCAUAUGUGAGGUAGCACUAGAAUCAACAAUAAAGGACUUAUUCUUUGAUUUGUUCAUAGCAAAAGUAGCAAGGGCUUGUGGAAAAUCAUUAGGUUGAUAGGAAUAAUCAAACCUAUACCAACAAUUAAUAGCAAAAUGGUUUGGUUUUUUUCCAUAUUUGACAAGUUACCUUAUAGCCAUUAUUUGAGCUAGUAGGUGUGAAUCCUCUUCCCUUCGAGUUGAAAUUUCUUUUACCCACUCGAUCAUUUCGGCCACAACCUCAUUAUCCAAAGAAAACUUCAUCAUGCUCUAAGAACAUUUUCUCAUCCUCCUUGUAAGUGAUGAGUGAUUGUUCAUAUCCUUGAAGAGCUAGCACAAACUGUUUAAAGGAAGAAUAGGUAGUUUAGUAAACAUAGCAAGUCAAAAAAUUCCAUACCUUUGUCUUAAGCCAUAGCAAACUGGAAAACUUUGUCUUGGUCUGAAAUUGACUUUUUGAUUGCAUUGAGAUUGUCACAUAUAUUUUUAAAGUUUCUUAAAUAUUCUUUAAGAGACUAUGACCAUUUUUGAGAGUCAUCAACGUAUUUUUCUGAUUCAUUUUUUGCUCCAUUAUAAUGUGAAACAACUGCUUUUCAAGAGACAUCCACACUCUAUAUGCCGUUUCAACAUCAAAGAUCAUACUCAAAACAUUUAUAGUUGGUACGGGUUAGGGUUUUUGUUUCUCUCAUCAUCCUUAAUUUCUUUAGUAGGUUUUUCUCCAUUUAAUAGAUGAUAGAGAGUGAUUUGAUUUUGCCAUAAUAGGAAAUUUGUGGUGUUUAACUUGAUAGAGAUGAAACUAGAGCAUUGAUAAAAUGCCAGAAUAUUGAGUUCAGAUUCUAUGUUUAGGAAAGAAGAAAGUGAUAAAGAAGAAGACAUUUUUCCUUUUUGGCUAAUACCAUGUAAAGUUUGAUCAGUUGGCAAUGAAAACUAUAUUUUCAAUUUCUUCCUUUGGAACUUUAUACAAAAAUAUAGAUGGUUUAUACAAGGGAAGAAAUAAACAAUAUUUCUAACUUAUAGGAAAAUAUUCUUAAAUUAAGAGAGUCAAAUAUUAUGAAUAUUUGAUCAAAUAUUAUCAAAAUUAAAUAUUAUCAAUAUUUGAUUUCCAAAUAUUGUGAGAAUCAAAUAUUGUUAAUAUUUGAUUUUUUUUAUUCCUCUAGAUUUAUGAAAAUAUUUAUGAGAGUGCCUUUCUACUUUUUACGUGCAUGAUUCUAUAUAUCUCCUUGAAUAUUUCCUUUAAUAGACUUCAACAUGGAUAUUGGAUGUUGGAGAGCAACAAGUUGGUCAAACCCAUUUUGACUUUUUCUUAAAUAUAUUCUCAUUUUUUUUUUAACAUAUUCUUAUGUUUGUUCCAAAUCCAUAUCCGGACGAGAUGGAAUGGGUUUGGGGUUUCAUGCCCAUUUCACCUUGUUUAAAAGCUUUUUAUUAUUAUUUCUUUAACUUUUAAUCAUACUAAAAUAAGUAUAAUUUAUAAAACAAAAUUUCAUAAAUUUAAUAUUUUAUUUUUAUGAGUGAUAAAACUUAUAUUUUAUUUUAUACAACAUAAAAAGAAAAAUGGAAAGAAUUGAUAUUAAAAUAUUUUUAUUUAAUUUUUAAUUAAAUGGAUGGAAUAGUAUAGUAUUAAAACCCGACCUAGAUUUUUUUUUUUUCCAAAAAAAAAACAAAUUACUAACCCACCACACAAAUAUCAUCCCUUUUCAUCACUAUUCAACAAAGGAUAUUAAUCAUUACUAGUUAAGAUAAAACAAAUGUUAUAUACACGUAUAUCUUUAAUAAGACAAUCCAGAGAUACAAAUAAAUGAUUUUGAAGCCAAUUUCAAAAAGUUUUUCAAGUUCGAGGUAAAAUUGGUUCAACUUUUACUUUUUUUUUUUCCUUUUUAACACAUAUAAAAUUAAAAGUAUUUCUCAUAUAAAAAAAAAAGUUAUAAAAAGUUUAUAAUAUUUAUUAUUUAUAAAUUUUUUUUAGAUAAAAUUUAAAAAAUAUUAAAAAAACUUGCCUUAAACUUGGCUUACCUUGCCAAUGUUUAUUAUUAUUAUUAUUUUUGAGAUGACAAUGAAAAUAAGCCUAAAUAAUUGAGAUGGGAUGUGAUAGGAUGGGACGGGACGACUCACGAGCCUACAUUGUUGCCAUCCACCCAUUUCUUUAUCAACUUUAUAAGGAUAAUUAUCCUUUUAUUCCAGCAGCUUCAAUGAGUCUGACAAAUAUGAUGGAGAAAUUGAACUCUUUCGUAUAAAGUUGAUACAGGAAUAAGGGUGAUUAUCCUUUGCCCAUCUACCCAUUUCUUUUAUACCAAAGUCCUUAUAAUUAUCCUUAGAAGACCUUACUUGCCCUUCCUCUUUUAUUUUAUUUUAUUUUUAUUUUUUUAAUUUAAUUUAAUUUAAUUUUUUGUUUUUAUCAAUCCUAUAUCAAACCAUCCUUUGAUAAUCCAUUAUCAGCUACUAAUUGUAUAAAAAUAUCAUGUUUUGAAAUGUCAACUAUAUUUGAAAACCCAAAUUACCUUUGUUGAUUAUGAAUGACCCUAUGAUCUUCUCCUUCGCCCAUUCAUUAUCGAGCAUUAAUUUUAGGAGUGUUUGUGUUUUGAGUCUUUUAGUAACUUUUCUUGAUGAUGAGUUACACAAUGUUUCUCGUCCAACUGCUCACUAAUAGGAAGAAGCAAAGAUUCAAACAUAUAUAGAUUUGUUCUAAUUACAAAGAUAAAAGCAAGCUAGAUUCAGAUACAUUCCAAUCAAUCUUGACUCCAGAUAUCAGCCAAUUUGGCAAGGGCAGUGGUGGAUGAACCCCCCUCUUUCCAAGCUGCCAAAGCCAUCUCUCUCAUCUUCCUGCUUCUUUCUCUCAGCUCCCUCCCCUCUUCACACUCCAUCAACUCUCUCACUCUCCUCUCCACCUCAGCUCCACUCACAAACAUAUCCGCAUCCCUCUGCUCCACUCCAAUAGCCAUCUUCAUAUCCUCCACAAGAACAGCCUUAUUCAGAUGCUGCUCAGCAUAUAGAGGCCAUGCCACCAUUGGCACUCCUGCGACCACUGCCUCCAACACCGAGUUCCACCCGCAAUGGGUUACAAAUCCACCCACCGAUGGGUGAUUCAGCACCGCCACCUGCGGCGCCCAUGACUUCACCACCAUUCCCCUAUCCUUGGUUCUUUCCAGGAACCCCUCUGGCAUUAGAGCAUCCAAAUCAACAUCGGCCGUCACUGCAAUCUGAUUGCUUUUGUCGUUGGAUGGUGGGUUCUUCACCACCCACAAGAAUCUCUUGCCACUUCUUUCCAGUCCAUUAGCUAUCUCCUUCACCUGAGCGGGCGAGAACGCUCCGUUGCUCCCGAAGCACAAGAAGACAACACUCUGACUUGGCUGUGUGUCAAGCCAGGACAAGCAACCAUGGCGAGCUAUACUACCAGCACUAUUGCUUUCAUCUUCACCAGUAUCAGCAAUCAAAGGGCCGAUGCAGUAAACUGGAGGAGUUGGCCCAUUGGGAACACAUGUCCCCUCCCUGAUUGUCUUAACGGCUAUUGGCUCCAGGUCAUCUAUUGUAUUUAUCAAAAGUCCAUCGGAUUUUGGCAAAAGCUCUGAGAAGUGUAGCAUAUCAUAAUAGGCGGGGUCGCCUCGGUUGAGCCAUGGUUGAAGCAUUCGAGUGGCUUGUAGCGGAGGCAACCCAGGAAAGUGUAUAAAGGUAGUGGGCAUGUCCUUGAAGCUCUUAUUGCUGGUCUCAUACUGUUUGUGAAUUGUCGGAAAGUAGAGGAAAGCCGCAACAGCAGCAGCACUGCCGGUGAGGAAGUGGAAAGUGGGAAUUCCAAGGUCACGAGCAACAGGAAGAGCUGAAGCGCAAAAGUAGUCGAUGAUGAAUGCCUGAACGGUGGAAGUUUUGGAGAGUUGCUGGAGAGAAUGGAGGACAUUAGAGGCACUGAGACGGAAGAACUCAAAGAAGACAGCGACGAUACUGCGAGUGGAAGAAGAGGUGUCGACCGAGAGAUAGGGGAAGCGGUGGAAAGAGAUAGAAGGAUUGGUUUGGGAGAUGUGGUCAAUGUAAGAGGUGGUGGCCGGGGUGUCAAAAGGGCCAGUGGAGAGGAGAAUGGUGAUGGAGAAUCUGUGGGAGUAACGGCGAAGGAUGAGCUUGCCUAGCUCUAUCAUGGACACCACAUGGCCGAUGAGUGGAGCUGGAUACAGGACUAUUGCAUCAUCCAUUGUUGCCUAGUGUUGGAUCUCUGGAUUGAACAAUCUUAGAAUGAGAACUUUCAGAUGACCUCAGUGUUAAGCUCAGUCAACGCAUUAUUGAACCAAUAGUCUGCAUCAAAGUACGUGCCGACAUUUUGUUCCCGUGCCACACGUUGCCUGUCAACAGCUCCAUUAAAUUAUUGGAAACUUUGGUUAUUAUCCUCUCAUAUGAAAAUAUUAUUAUGAAAAUAUGAACCCAAGUAUUCUUAUUUCAAAUUAACAACUUUAUUCCCAAAAAUAUUUGGGUCUUCCUGCACUCUUGGCUGAUUUGUUUUUUAAUGUAAAAAAUGUCCUCCCUUUGCCAUGCAAGACUCCAACUAACCUGCCCACAUGAGAAAAAAAAGGGGCAAAACAAAACAUCAACGUUUUUUUCUCUUCAUUUUCUCCAUUGAGCACUGAACCAAACAAAAAAAAAAAUUCUCCAUCUCCUAUUUUCCCAGUCAGAAACCCAACUUCAUGAAACCCUAACCUCUCCUCGUAGUGAUUGGAGGUCUCGACUUUGUAGGCACCGCUUUUUGUCUUGAGCUCACCUGUAGAGGUGUGCGCCAAGUUGAACACUUUGUCUUGAUUUGAUAAUCUUAAAAUAUAAGAACAAAGGAGUCCACCACAUUUGAGGUGAUUCUUCUUUGAUUUAGAGUGUAUCUAAUAAGGUUCUUUGUGUCUAUUUUUUUUUCUUUUUAUUUUCUUUAUUUGUGGUGCUAGAUUUUUUAAAACAUGAUCGAUUAGGGUUUGGUAGUCUUUUUUUUCCUUUUUUAUUUUUAUUUUUUAUAAUUAGUAUAUGGUUUUAUUUUCGAUUUAUUUCUUGCAUUUGUUGCUAUGUGAUUUGAAUAUUUGGGUCAGAGAUUAGGUCGUCGUUUUGAAAUCUAAAAGUAGUGCGGGUCGCUGUUGUUUUAAGAUUUAAUUUGUUGGAUAGUAUUGGCGAGGGGUGGUGGUGUUUUUUUUUCAUUUUCCAUUUUUAACCUGCUGAAUAGUUUUUAUGUGAUUUUUUUUCAUCUUUGGAGGGAAACUUUUGUAAUGGGUUUGGUGUGAUUAUUACAGUAAAGAGAAAGGAACUUAGUGUUUAAUGGAGGGGAUUGAGGAUUGGUUUAUGUUCACAAAACGUUUGAGAUAAUUUGAGCAAUUUAGGUUUGCCCCAAACUCUAUUAUAUCCCAAAGAUGGUGAUCCAUCCCAAAUGUGAAUGUCAAUUUUUCUUGAUUUUGUGUAGAAGCAUGUUGAAGGAAAAUAGCUUAUGAUGUUGAGUAGAAUGCUUCUUGAUGGUUCUUUAUAGCUUUCUUAUGAUUUUCUCAACUAAAAUUUCAGCAUACUUUGGAUUGUUUGAUUUUUCUUCUAGUAUAAAUAGAUGAUUUUAUCAGAAUUUGGUUGUAGAUGCACCUAAAAAUGAUAGGAAAUUAGGAGUGAUAUAUCACCUUAACUAUAAGGCCCCACACGACCACACUCCACCCAUUUACUUGUGAACCCACCAACUAAAACAACCAACCCUUUAGUCUCCACUUGACUUGUCAUAUAAUUCUAAGUUUUCAUUUGUUUUCUUAAUACAUUCUUCGUAAAAAAAUGGAAAAUUAAACUGAUAGAAGGAACUGCUUUUGUGAAUUCCAAUUAUAAAAGUCAAUGAAGAAAACUUAUUGCCAUUAGAGACUAUUUAAAUGACAAAAUAAAUAUAUUUAAAUGGAGUAAUCUUGCAACUAUGGCUUAACCUUUUUUUUUCCUAUGAAAAUUGAACUUAUUUUUAGAAAAUGAAAAAGAGUCAAAUUUAUUUUUUAGAUUUUCAAAGAUGCCAACCUUCAAAUAUUGAUAAUUCUUAGAAAAAAGAGAUUUUUUGAGAUUUUUUUUUCUUUUCAAAAUGCCUAUCUUUCUUUGACGAACAAACUCCUCUGCAAUAUAAUAGGUUUCAUAGAGGAGCAAGAAGCUUUGGUGGUGAAGUCAUGGAAUUCAAUGAAGAAGAAUGCUGGAGAGUUGGGUUUAAAAUUCUUCUUGAAGUAAUUCAAAUUUUCCUUAUUCUUCUCUACACAUUGAUAAUUACCUUAUUUCUUGAUGAUAUAUAAAAAUUGAAUAAAGCUUUGGUUUUUGAUUGGGAAGUGUUGGAUUCAAUUUUUGUAGAAUAAUUGAGAUUGCUCCAUAAGCUAAAAACUAUUCUCAUUCUUGAAAGACUCAAAGGUUCCCCUGGAGAAGAACCCAAAGCUCAAGUCCUAUGCCAUGACUGUUUUUUAUUUUUAUUUUUUAUGGUUGGUUACUCUUCUCCCCACCUCCAAAUGGGUUAUUAAAGAUUACCAUAUACAAAAUUUGAGGAUUAUGAACAUUACAAUACUUGGAAAAAAAAAAUUCUAAUCAUCUAUAGGUGUGAACCUUUAUAGCUCAAAAUAUAGGUGAGCUUUUGAACCAAACCCCACCAAGAUAGAAUAUGUGAAUUAUAUAACUAUUGGAUCUUAUAUUAUAAAUUUAUAAUGUUCUUACAAAAAAUGAAAAGUGCCCUCCAAUAAUUUUCUAGUGGUCUAACAUGCCUCCCCUUCAACCAUCCAAAGACCAUAUUAUUGGUCUUCCUCAACUACCUUUUCUUUAGUCUCUUGUCAUUUGAAAAUCACAAAGUAGUCAACAUGGUCAUACAAAAUUUACAUAGUUUAUAAGAGGGAUAAUCUUUGAAAAUAUUUUUCAAACAAAUCUUCUCAUUAUUCCCAUCCAACCAACUUCAACCAUGAAAAAUACAUGUUUGCAUAUCAAAAUAUUAAAUUACAAGCUGCAAGAUUUAACAAAUUUUCCACAUUUGAUUCUUUUUGUAACUUCGUGCAAACUUGUGAAUCAACUAUUCAACAUCGAAAAGCCAACAAAGUGACAAUGAAAGACUCUACCUUAAAGAAAUUAGGUGUUGUUCACUACAAAUCUGGUGUCCUUGAUGAACACUAUGAGGUAUAUAUAGUUAUUAUAAAGUAUAUGAAAUUUUCAAGAUGCUAUAACUCUUUCAAUUUAAUGAUUUGCAAACAAUUUUUUAACCCAAAAAAUAAAUUAUUCGGAUCAUAUAGGUUACAAAGUUUGCAUUGUUGGAAACAAUAAAGGAAGCAGUUCCUGAAAUGUGGUCACCAACAAGCUAAUGAUUAGUCGGUUCCUACUAUCAAAUCAGAGAUGAAGUUGUCCUCUUACACAUAUGUGAUCGAAUCAUCUAUAAAAUAAGAUUGAAUGAAUGUAUUGAUACACAAGAGCUUGUUUGUUUUGGUUGUGUUUUUGGUUUGUUCAUUAGGUGUGUGUUGGAAUAAAUAUUUGAAAAGGUCUUAGUUUGAGAAAAGAGAUACUUUUUCUAUUGUGUUUUGUUUGGUUGAAAGAAAAGGAAAUUUUAAGAUUUUGUUCCACCUUUUUACAGAUUCUUCAAUCUUCCUUGCAAAAAAAUGGAUGGUAGGAAAAGAUUAACGGUUAGACUAAAGUGAUCUUGGAAUCUAGAAGAUGAAGCCAUAAAAGAAUGUUAGUAAAAUAACAUUUCCCAUGCCACCAAUAUUCAAAAACCAGAUGUCACUAAGGCAUCAUCAUCAAUUUUUGCCAAAAAUAAAUAACCCCAUUUUAUAAGGAACGACAUUUCAUUUCUUGCAAAACAAACAUGAUUUCAUUUCUUUUGGUUUAGAUUUGUUCUUUGUCCAUUGUCCAUUGUAAGAUUAACCAACUAUCAAGACAACCUAUUUUUUCUUAUUCAAUCACGCUCUGCAACUUUUUGGACAUAAUAAAAGCAUGGAAUAUGACUUAAAAAUGCAGAACAUGUUGCCUAAUGCCUUCUUUUACACAUCUAAAGGAUGAUAACUUAAAAACAUAUAAUUCUAAAAAUUGAUAAAAUCUUUUGAAGUAAACACUAGUGAUUUGAACAUAAAUUUUUCGUAAUAAUUCUUCAAAUCUAACUUCUAAGAAUUUAGAGAUAAGCUACAUGUAGAAGUGCAAAUUGUGCUAAAUAAUGGAUUCCCUUACAAAUUGAUCAAAUCUUACUAUUUUUGCAAUUUGGGUAGGUUAUUUAUCUAUCGAUAUGUCUGAUUCGAGAGUGGGUUAGGAAUUCUUAACCUAUGCCAAGCGGGAUUAUCAAACAAAAUAACUAUUUUAGAGUUUGUACUAUAGAAAAUAGUAUACUAAAUGUUAAUUUUAACCCAUGAGUGCUUUUUGCAUUUGCAAUGAUCAUUUCCCUUGGAUGAACUCGAAUUAAAAUAAUAAGAAUAAACCGGUUAAGAUAUAUCCAUUGUUCUAACUUGUUUUUCCACAAGGAAAUAUUUGCUUCUAUUAUGUGAACCAAUACAUAAGCUUAUUGGAAGAAUCCAUUGUCCCUCAACAAACAAACUAGAUAACAUAACCUAGGACUGCACUACUCAAGCAAUACAUCAAAUAUAUGAAUUUAAAAGUAAAUAUAAUGUAAAAACCUAUAACAAAAGCAUGUUUGGAUUUUACAAAAAUAAUAGGAUAUUAUUUUUGCUUUAUCCAAGUGUCAAUAAUUGAUUUCACUUGAACGCCGGAUUCUUCUGAAAGAAUACUCCACAAAUCUGCUGUCUUUGCAUUUUUGCCACCCUCAUGGACCUCUGCUUUGAAAAACAGCUAAAAGGUAAAAAUGAACAAAAAAAAAUGUUAUCUAUCAAUCAUCACAAAAUAAAAUAGUCUAAUUCAGGAAGUGUGGAUCAAGAUGACUACAGAGUAAAUGAUAUACUCUUGAUGACUAACAAUAUUGUGUUGUAGAGGAAUGCACCAUAGGCACAAGUAAUGUAGAGAAAUAAACACUUUUGAACAUUUCAUGAGUUCCUACUUUAAGGGGGAAGACAUAAGUUUGCAUACCACCAUGACCAAACAAUCUAGAAGUUUAUUCCCAAUAGUAUGACCAUCCUUGCAGCUGUAGGGUAUGAAAAUGAAAUUUGCAUAAAAUUUUCAAAUGACUCAUAGGGUAAACGUCAUCUACUUUAAGAAGAAUGCAAACAAGACCAUAUGCAUAGUGCUAGAAGGCUGUGAAAAACAAUAUUUUUAAGAUAAUUAAAAACUAGGUAAAAAAAAUAAAUUAUAUGCAAGUAGAAAUCAAGUAUAGUAGCCAAUUUACAACAAAAAAGCAAGGCAUUCUGUGUGGGGUCAUAGUAUGAGUGAUGUAGAACAAAGCCUAUAUAACUACAAUCAUAAUUAAAAUUGUAGUAACUAUGAUAUUUCCACAAUCAUAAUUAAAUACUUAAACACUUUCUUAAUUGAUCUUGAAAUCAUGGAUUGUAUCAUCAUUGAAUGCCAAAGAUAAGUCCUAUGGUGGACAAAGGAACUACGUAAGGUUCACAAAUGAGGUACCUAUGGUGCACAAAGGUAGUACUUAAGGUGCAUUAAGGCAGUACACAAGGUUGAUUAAAACAGUACCCAAUGUGCAUUAAGGUAGUACACAAAGUUGAUUAAAGUAGUAACCAAGGUGCAUUAAGGCAGUACCUAAGGUUCACCAAGGCAGUACCUAAGGUUCACCAAGACAGUACCUAAGGUUCACCAAGACAGUACCUAAGGUUCAUCAAAGCAAUACCAAAGGUUCACCAAGGCAGUAUCUAAGGUUCAUUAAUGCAGUACCUAAGGUUCAUCAAGGCAGUACCUAAGGUCCACUAAGGUAGUACCUAAGGUUCACUAAGGUACCAUCCAAGGUUCACUAUACUAUCCAAGGUUCACUAAGGUAUUAUCUAAGGUCCACUAAGGUAGUACCCAAGGUUCAUUAAGGUAGUACCCAAGGUUCAUUAAGGUAGUACCCAAGGUUCACUAAGGUAGUCCUUAAGGUUCACUAAGAUAGUAUCCAAGGUUCAUUAAGGUAAUACCUAAGGUUCACUAAGGUAGUAUAUAAGGUUGCUUAAGGUAGUAUCUAAGGGUUACUAGGGUAGUACCUAAGGUAUAGUAACCACUAUACCAAAGGUGAACCAACUGACCACACCAAUUUAACACAUAAUGCCAUGCUCAAUUCUAUGUGGAACCGAAUAUGUUGUAAGUUCCGUUCGGAUUGAAAACCACUUAUGGGUCCUACGCUUAACAAACUAUCUGCCUAAGAUUGGCAAAUGAACACCAAAUGUUCACAAAUGAAGUAACUAAUGUUCAAAAAUGAAGUUUGCUAAGGUUUACACAAGUAGUACUCUAGGUAUGUUAAGGUAGUACCUAAGGUUCACUAAGGUAGUACCUAAGGUUCACUAAGGUAGUAGCUAAGGUUCACUAAGGUAGUACUUAAGGUUGAUUAAGAUAGUACUUAAGGAUGGUUAAGGGAGUACCUAAGGGACUGUCAGCACUAGACCAAAGGUGAACCAACCGACCUCACUAAUUUAGCAUCUAAUGCCAUGCUCAGUUCUAUGUGGCAUCAAAUAUGUUCUAAGUUCCAUUAAGAUUGAAUGCCACAUGUGGGUCAUAUGGUUCCACAAACCGAUUGCCUAAGGUUGGCAAAAAAGCUACCCAAUGUUUACAAAUGUUGUGAUUAUGGCUCAUAAAUGAAGUUUGGGGCUUCACAUAGGUUAGUACCCAAGUUUAAGUAAGAUAGUAGCUAAAGUAGAUUAAGAUGGUACCUAAAGGUUACUAAGGUAGUACCUAAAGGUUACUAAGGUAGUACCUAAGGUAUAAUCACCACUAUACCAUAUGUUAACCGAUUGACCACACUAAUUAAACACAUAGUGCAUUAAAGUAUACAUCAUUGAUUUUGGCAAAUUUAAUGGAAAAAAUAAUAAAAAUACAAUAAUUUGCCUCAAUCUAGUUGUGCCCCAUCAUUUAAUAGAUGUGUCACAAGGCCUACAAUCAUCAUCUAUUUUCCCUAACUCCACACAUCAUGUGUAGUGCAGUUAUGGCUUUUCCUUAAGCCCAAUUAAUUCCAAAAUUGUUGACCUUCAAUUAACACGUUGCAAAAGCAUGUUAUUUAACUUGAAAUUCAUCAAAAUGAAGCUUGAACUCCAUGUAUAGUUAUACUGCUCACAAGGUAUAUAUGCAAUUCCAACACACACAUACACUUCGAUCCCUUAUAUUUAUUCAACACCCUUUAAAUUCUAAUUUUUUAGUCAUUGGCUAGGAAUUUUCCUCUUUGUUUCUUCUCCAACCAUGAAAAUUCUCAUUCUCAUGCUUAUAUGUACAAAACCAAUGAUCUUAUAAAAUUUACAAAACCAAUGGUUCAACAACCAAAGAUUUGCAAAAUGUAACCCUCCUCAACUUUAAUAGGCUAUAAAGAAAACAAUUUAAAACCUCCUAUAACUAAGUCUAUUGAUGAUAAUCUUCCAAAAGUUUCUAAGCAACUAAGGAUUACUCCAACUCUUUAGUGAAUAUAGCCUAGGUUUCCCAUAAUAAGUAGUAAUAGAGAUUGUGAUAUUCACAACAACAAAUAUUAAAUAAUGAUAAAAAUGAUGGUCAUGGCAAUAAUGAUAAGUGACACUACCUUUAGAAAGAAUUCAAUUUCAUGUGUAAACAUAACUUUUCUGAGUGAAACCAUCAACAUGAAAGUAGCAUACUCACAACACCAAACAAAUAACUAGCACCACCACCAUUAAAAAUGUUUUUUAUAAUUUCAAUUUGUUGAAAAGUCUUAAAAUAAUGCAUGAUGCAACAAUUUAAGCAGAAGGAUAAAAUAAGUGCACCUCGGAUUACCAAUAUGGCAAUCCCGUUUGUCAACCUUUAGACUUAACCAAUGAUGAAAAUAUCUGUAAUUACGAAUAUAUUGGUACUUCGAUUUUACGGAUAUAUCGGAGAUAUAUCGGUGGAUAUUUUGGAAAAAAAUAUCGGUAGGCUUGAAAUUGUCAAAAACUCAUGAAAAUGUAAGGAAAACCUCAUAAUAAUAUAAUUAGAAGUAUAAUAGACAUUUUAAAGUUAUUUUAUUGAAAAAUUUGAUAUAUGUAUAACAUGAUUUAUCAUAUUUGAUAAUAAUAUCAUAUGCAUCGAUAAAAAUAUGAAUUUUAUAAGUGUACAUUUAUUAUUAAAUUACAUCUAAUAUUAUGAUAUUUGAUUAUAAUAUGUCUAAUUUUAAAAUAUCUAUUAAUAUUAAAAUUAUGAUCCAUUUAAUUCAAUUGUAUUAAACAAUAUAAAAUAAAUUAUAUAUAUAUAUAUAUAUAUAUAUAUAUAUAUAUAUAAUAGAAAAUUUUGCAUUUAAUUAUAAAAUAAUUACAAUUAAUUUGCUCUUUAAAAUAUUCUUUUAAUAUUUUCUUUAUAUAAUGAGUUUAAGUAUAUGUAAGUUUAGUGCACAAUAUAUAACAAGGGCAAGUUUGCUUGGAUGGCAAGUGGAGUGUACCCCAAAUCAUAUCGCGAUAUUUUCCUCUUUGGACUUAACCCAAAAGUUUUACUAGAUAAUCCUAGAAACAACGCCAUAUUUAACCUGAAUAAUUACUAUCUCCAUAUAUACUCUCAAUUUGAAAGGGAAAAAAGAAGAAGUCAUGUUUAGGUGCUAAUUAACAUCUUUUAAAAUAAAUAUCUAAAUUCAAUCAAUAUGUAGUUAGCAUGAUCACUUGAUCAAUAUCAUCAUUUAUUUUUGCUUUUGUCGUAGUCCUCAAGAAACUAGGACAAUGAAGUCAAAUUAACACAAUGUAUACUACAAAUUGGGGGUAAUGAGCUGAAAAGAACUGUUAUUGAAUCAAAUGAACAUUUAGUCGAACCCCAAAUGAAUCUUAAUCUAGGUUUACAUUCUCACCAUGUACAACAACCUCGAUCUCAAUAGAACCAAUUAACAAGAUAUCAUAAAAGUAUUGUUAGCAAACAAAAGGAAAAAAAAAAAAAACGAAGUUGUGGACAAAACAAAAUUCAAUUCAACCUGAGAUAAAAGAAUGAAAUAGAUGAAGGCAUGUUGUAAGAAACAAUAGAGAAACUCAAGGAAACUGAUAUAGCUUAAGCCACCAUUUCGUCUCUUUAUUAUAGAGAAAGCAUUGUUUGUGAAGGGACAGACGAUGCUACCAAAUUGAAAUUGGGUAAUACCCAAUGGGAAACUUAUGUUUGGAAAUGAAGGAGCUUGGAAAGUGCAGUGCGACUGAAACACAUGUAAGGAAGUUGAUGAUGAUGGGUAUCCCAUGCCCUUCGAAAUCGUCUUGUUCUGACAAGAAAAGGUUAGGGUUAAGUUUCACCGUAUUCUUGUGAUUCCGGGAAUAUUUGGUAAAAUAAGAGGUUUGUUUUUUUUUAUUUUUUAUUUAUGGGAUUUGGAUUUUUCAGAUUUAGAUCAACACAAGAGAAGGUGUUAGGGUUUCUUGAUUUUUGGGUUUCAAGAGAAAGAGAAGUAGAUAGAGGAUGGAAUCGUCUAUUCAACGUUAGUGUUGACCAGGGUAGAAAGAAAAGUGUAGGGUGUUUUUCAGUUUUUUUUUAUAUUAUUUAUUUAUUUAUUAUCUGAUAUGGAAGCUGAGUUGGAGGAAAGAAGAGGGCAAUUUGGAUAUAAACUAACAACUAAGUUGAGAGUGCAUGAAUCUCAUAUUAUUUUUGGGAUUAGAAUAGUUAUAUUAGAAAGGUCAAAAGUUGGGUUUCCAAUUUCAUAUAUUUUUCAUAUUACCAACCCAAAACACAAGUUUCCCUAAAUUAUUUCAUGACAACUGGCCAAAGACCCCAACUACUAGACCGAUAUUUGUAAGCCUUAUAACAAUCUUCGCCGUCUAAAUAUUGAACCCACCUUAAUAGUGGAAUGGGAGUAGUGAACUUUUCCCAUAUUAUGAGUAAUUGCACAAAAACCUAUUAUUAUAUUUCAAUAUAAAGUAAUUUGUCCCACCAUGUUUAAAUUGUUAUUUGGGAUGGAGAUGAAAAUAAAUUUAAAGAAUCCUAAUCUCCAACACACAUUUGAGAAAAAAAAAUUAAAAGAAAUUUUAGGUUUUACUAUUAUCAUAAAACCAUUUUAUUUGAACUAGACUGAGAAAAUAAAUGCUAUGUUUAAUUAAGAAAAACACCCAAAAUGGGGGGUAAAUUAGGUUUUUUUAAAAAUCUUUUCAAUCAUAGCAAGUUCAAGCACAAUAUAAACAAAAUAAAGAGAUAGAGUUAGAGAAUUCAAACUCGGGUUUUAUAGUAGUUCGACACUUCCUUGCCUACGUCCACUCUCCUCAAUCUCCUAACCGAGUGAGGGUUCUACUAACUUGAAGCUUCAACCAAGCUUCCAAUCUUCUUACACUUGGAUUCCAGCUCCAAUGGGCUCUUACACAAUCUUUUCAAGAUUCAAAUCUCUUGAAGGCUUUAACACUCAGAUUUUACAAGAAAGAAUCCCUCAACCUAGCUUAAGGAUAACUCAAAUACAAGACAAAGCUAGGAUGACACACAAGAGUGCACUAAAGGAUAUGCAAGUGAUGAUUUAAUGCACUAAGAAAGAAAUGAGAGCUUUUUGGUCAAGAACAGGUAGGUAGACAAUUGAUUGCAAGUGUUCUCUUGUCAAUAAAUGAAGUGCAACUCUUAAUUUAUAGGUUUCUAAGCUUGGGAGUCAAAAACAGUAAAAGGUAACCUCAACCGAUCGAGCUAGGGGUCGACCAGUUCACUAGUCGUUAGAGCAUUUAAUGCUUGAUAGGUUAUUAUUGCCUCGACCGGACCUCAACAGGGAAAAGAAGGCCACUAGGAGAGAGAGAAAGUUUUUGUGCAUCCCUCGACCGGUCCUAGACCGGACGAGGGCAACCGAUCAACCGGUUCCUCAACCAGUUGAGCCGGUUGGCCAUAGCCUCGAUCGGUUGAGCCUUUUGGCCCCGAAAAACUAUCUUUUUCAAUUCCUUUCUUUUCUAACACUUAGGCAAGGUCUUUAGGAGAAUUAUUAAGCCAAUUAUAAAACAUUUUGCCUAAGGUACAUUUGUUAAAAACUCAGGUUUUAAUGAAAUCGAAGUUUUAAAGAAUAAACCGAGUUUUCUAAGUUGCAUGAAAUGUGUGAAAAUCCUAAAUGCACUCAUGCAUUCAUUUUACAUUAGUUUCCUAUGAUCGCAAGUCUUCCAAGCGUCUCAAUCUUGUAUCCAUUUGGUUAUUUGAUGAAUUUUCGAGUUUAUGCCUGAGAUUCUUAACCAUUAAACCAAUUAGUCACUUAACCGUGGUUUGUUAUCAUCAAAACCCGAUUAGGAGAACCCUUAACAUAGACUAAUAAUGAAUCACCUAAGCUACUCGUUUAGAUGUAUAAUAAGAUAAACAAAUUUUUUUUGAAGUUUAGAGUGCGCAAGAGAGAAAGAGUGUAUGUGUAAAAAAAUGGCAUUAAAAAAAUAUUUGUAGAUUAAAUCAAGUAUAUAUUUUGAGGCAAUUAACAUAUUUUCCUCAAUAAUGAAUUUAAAAAAUGAAAAAUGAAAUUUGCUAUGUAAUAAUAUUAGUAUAAUUAUUUAAAAAGUAGACAUUGUAACAUUUAGAGUGCUUCAUAUCAUAAUGGUUUAAUGGUUAAGUGCAUAAAUUUCAAGAUAAUUUCAUUUUCUAUUAGCAAACAUGUUGUCUCAUUUAAUUCUAAUAAGUACAUGUUUCUUUUUGUAAAGAAUAUUGUAUAAUUUUUUUUUUAUAUCAAUAUGCUAAUAUAAUAUUAACUUUUUUUAAUACAAUAAGAAAUUAAAGUUAUUAGGCAUAUCUCUAUAAAUAUUUUUAGUCAUAAAGACAAAAAGGUUAUUAGAUGAAAAUGAACUUGUGAAGAUUACAUGUGGUAGAUAGAGAUAUGAGGAAGAAUGAGAGAGGGGUUUAUGAUUCAAGGUGUAGAUAUAAGGAGUGGGGAAACAUGAAAUGUUUUGCAACUCAAUUAUUGUACCUGAUUUCUAUUCUUUAUAAUAUUUUCUAUAGAAUAAUGGAAUAAUCUUUCUCAUUUGUGGAUAUAAACAUGGUUGGUCAAACCAUAUUAAAACCUCACAUAUCUUUGUGUGUGGAUUUGUUAUCUUUGGAUUCUUGUAUUAACAUAAUUUCAUUAAAACUUCUAUUGACACAAUAAAUUGGUAUCUGAGCCUUGAUUAAAUAUUUCUAAAAGAGUUAAAGAGAGCACAAACACAUAAUAGAAUAACAAAACGGAUUUUAAUUGAAGGUGGAAUUAAUUGUUCUCUCUUUGGGGUGUGAUUUAUAAAGCAUGUAUCGAGAGUGAUAGAAGA
rnacentral:lncRNA from 1 species